GGAUUAGAUACCCUGGUAGUCCACGCCGUAAACGAUGAGAACUAGACGUUGGUCGGUCUAACCGGUCAGUGUCGAAGCUAACGCGUUAAGUUCUCCGCCUGGGGAGUACGGCCGCAAGGUUGAAACUCAAAGGAAUUGACGGGGGCCCGCACAAGCGGUGGAGCAUGUGGUUUAAUUCGAUGCAACGCGAAGAACCUUACCUGCCCUUGACAUCUUCGGAAGCUUGCAGAGAUGCGAGUGUGCCUUCGGGAACCGAAUGACAGGUGCUGCAUGGCUGUCGUCAGCUCGUGCCG
rnacentral:rRNA from 1 species